UCUCCAGUGGCGCAGUUGGUUAGCGCAUGGUACUUAUAUGACAGUCACUUCCUGUGCUAAUGAGAUUGCAAUUCUCACCUAAGAAAUGCCGAGGUCGCGAGUUCAAGCCUCGCCUGGAGAA
rnacentral:tRNA from 1 species